CAUCAACACCCACACUGUGUCGAGCGCGGUUUCUGUCUGAUGCUGAUGAACACUGUCGUCAAAGAGAAAAGGGUACUGUGAUGUCACCAGAGACGAAUUUCAGAAAGAACCCAAUCUUUGCGGACAGCAAGGAACCGCUGAUACCUACAACGCUGCUGUCGCCUCUCUGAGGAGAGCAGAGAAGUCAAAGGAAUAAAACAGAGCAUCUACAAUCAAAGAAGGACCCCCUCUCAAACAAAUGUCCUUGUGUGGAUGGACCCUGCCCAGACACAUCUCCUAGCACUGAUGUACCCUCCACAGACACAUCUCCUUGUACAUCCAAAUCUAGAUAUUCAUCCAAGCUGCUACUUGAUGCAGCGACGUCCAAGAUGUAGGUGUCUUUGUUUCCGCAGUAGUUUCAACUUUGAUUUUUUUAGGUCAAACUAUUCUUGUCUGUCAGUCAUAUAAUGCAGGUCUAUGGUCACCACCUAAAAAGGCCAUGCACAGAGAAGUCCAAAUUAAACAAUUCCCCAUCGUAAGUACACAUUGAUGGCCUAAGACACGAAAGGAGCAGUCUGUGUGAGAAAAUGAACAGUAUUUAUAUCGUUUUUACCUCUUGUACACAGCCACGUCCAAGUGAUAUGAGGGCUCGCGUGCUUCCAGGUGUGUGAUGCAUCCGCGUUCUGUCUUAAUUUGCGCAAGCGCCGCACUUAGACUAAGCCAGCCCAGAAUGCGCACACACUGAAGCACGCGCACCCUCAGAUCACUUCGACGUGGCUGUGUUAUAAGAGGUAAAACGAUAUAAAUAAAAAUCGUAAAAAAAAAUAAAAAC